rnacentral:lncRNA from 1 species
CAGAACACUAUGGUCCUGGCAUAAGUGAUGCUGGACAGCCCAACACAAUGCUGACCUAAGAGAAUUCCAGCCACUCUGAUUCUCAGUCUCUUUAUAUCUGAAAGGGUUCUGUUCCACUUUUUCCCAGAUCAAAAUGUCCCUGCAGCUACUCAGCAGAGCUGUCGCAACUUAUAUGUAGAAGAGGUAACAGUCCACAAACAGAAAGGCACAGGACGAGAGUGGUCUGGGUGAUGCUUCCUGUGGGGGAAAAGGUGAUGAUAGUGCAUCUGCACACCUAUGUUCAUAGGGGGUAUUCUGCAUCCACGUCUUCACAAGGAGCUGAAAACAAAUUGGAUGGAAGCAACUGAGUUUUAUGGGACACGUUAAUGUUUUAAUGUCAUUUGGUGUGGAAUUCAGAUGUCCAAGCAACAUUUUACACUACAAAUCUGCAACUUUAAUAAUCACUCAAAGUACCUGAACCUCAAUGCUUUCAGACAGACUUGGUAUAAAGCCACCACCUCUUUCUAUUAUGGCAGCCCUAUCCUGAGGACACAAAUUUCUGCAGUGCUUCUGGCAUAUCUCUGAUUAAACAAAUGUCAAC